rnacentral:rRNA from 1 species
GACGAACGCUGGCGGCGUGCUUAACACAUGCAAGUCGAACGGAAAGGCCCUGCUUUUGUGGGGUGCUCGAGUGGCGAACGGGUGAGUAACACGUGAGUAACCUGCCCUUGACUUUGGGAUAACUUCAGGAAACUGGGGCUAAUACCGGAUAGGAGCUCCUGCUGCAUGGUGGGGGUUGGAAAGUUUCGGCGGUUGGGGAUGGACUCGCGGCUUAUCAGCUUGUUGGUGGGGUAGUGGCUUACCAAGGCUUUGACGGGUAGCCGGCCUGAGAGGGUGACCGGCCACAUGGGGACUGGGAUACGGCCCAGACUCCUACGGGGGGCAGCAGUGGGGAAUAUUGCACAAUGGGCGGAAGCCUGAUGCAGCAACGCCGCGUGCGGGAUGACGGCCUUCGGGUUGGAAACCGAUUUCGCCUGUGACGAAGCGUGAGUGACGGUAAUGGGGAAAGAAGCACCGGCUAACUACGU